rnacentral:rRNA from 1 species
AAGCGGCAAGAGCUCAAAUUUGAAAUCUGGCCUCCCUGGUGGGGGUCCGAGUUGUAAUUUGGAGAGGAUGCUUCGGGCUUGAUUUCCAUCUAAGUGCCCUGGAACGGGUCGUCAGAGAGGGUGAGAAUCCCGUCUGGGAUGGGUGAUCGGGUCUGUGUGAAGCUCCUUCGACGAGUCGAGUUGUUUGGGAAUGCAGCUCUAAGUGGGUGGUAAAUUUCAUCUAAAGCUAAAUACUGGUCGGAGACCGAUAGCGCACAAGUAGAGUGAUCGAAAGAUGAAAAGCACUUUGAAAAGAGAGUUAAAGAGCAUGUGAAAUUGUUGAAAGGGAAGCGCUUGCGACCAGACUCAUGUGGGGGGGUUCAGCUGGCACUUGUGCCGGUGCAUUCCCCCCCGGCGUGGGCCAGCGUCGGUUUGGAGGAUCGCUGAAAGGCCCCUGGAAUGUAGCGCCCUUUGGGGCACCUUAUAGCCCGGGGUGCCAUGCGGCCCGCC